AUUGAACGCUGGCGGAAUGCUUUACACAUGCAAGUCGAACGGCAGCACGGGGGCAGCCCUGGUGGCGAGUGGCGAACGGGUGAGUAAUACAUCGGAACGUGCCCGGUCGUGGGGGAUAACGUAGCGAAAGUUACGCUAAUACCGCAUACGAUCUGAGGAUGAAAGCGGGGGACCUUCGGGCCUCGCGCGAUCGGAGCGGCCGAUGUCAGAUUAGGUAGUUGGUGGGGUAAAGGCCUACCAAGCCGACGAUCUGUAGCUGGUCUGAGAGGACGACCAGCCACACUGGGACUGAGACACGGCCCAGACUCCUACGGGAGGCAGCAGUGGGGAAUUUUGGACAAUGGGCGCAAGCCUGAUCCAGCCAUUCCGCGUGCAGGACGAAGGCCUUCGGGUUGUAAACUGCUUUUGUACGGAACGAAAAGGCUCUGGCUAAUACCUGGGGCUCAUGACGGUACCGUAAGAAUAAGCACCGGCUAACUACGG
rnacentral:rRNA from 1 species